rnacentral:rRNA from 1 species
GACGAACGCUGGCGGCAUGCCUAACACAUGCAAGUCGAACGCCCCGCAAGGGGAGUGGCGCACGGGUGAGUAACGCGUGGGAAUAUGCCCUUCGGUUCGGAAUAACACAGGGAAACUUGUGCUAAUACCGGAUACGAUCUACGGAUGAAAGAUUUAUCGCCGAGGGAGUAGCCCGCGUAGGAUUAGCUAGUUGGUGAGGUAAUGGCUCACCAAGGCGGCGAUCCUUAGCUGGUCUGAGAGGAUGAUCAGCCACACUGGGACUGAGACACGGCCCAGACUCCUACGGGAGGCAGCAGUGGGGAAUAUUGGACAAUGGGCGAAAGCCUGAUCCAGCCAUGCCGCGUGAGUGAUGAAGGCCUUAGGGUUGUAAAGCUCUUUCGCCAGGGAAGAUAAUGACGGUACCUGGAAAAGAAGCCUCGGCUAACUCCGUGCCAGCAGCCGCCGUAA